rnacentral:rRNA from 1 species
GCAAGUCGAACGGUAAGGCUGUUUCGGGAGUACACGGGUGGCGGACGGGUGCGUAACGCGUAUGCAACAUACCUUUUAGCGGGGGAUAUUCUAGGGAAACUUUUCGCAAUACCCCAGGGUAUUAUUUGAUCGCAUGGUCGAAUAAUUAAACUUCGGUGCUAAAAGAUUGGCAUGCGUGACAUUAGUUAGUUGGCGAGGUAAUGGCUCACCAAGACAACGAUGUCUAGCUGGUCUGAGAGGAUGAUC